GAUGAACGCUGGCGGCGUGCCUAAUACAUGCAAGUCGAGCGAACGGACGAGAAGCUUGCUUCUCUGAUGUUAGCGGCGGACGGGUGAGUAACACGUGGAUAACCUACCUAUAAGACUGGGAUAACUUCGGGAAACCGGAGCUAAUACCGGAUAAUAUUUUGAACCGCAUGGUUCAAAAGUGAAAGACGGUCUUGCUGUCACUUAUAGAUGGAUCCGCGCUGCUUUAGCUAGUUGGUAAGGUAACGGCUUACCAAGGCAGCGAUGCAUAGCCGACCUGAGAGGGUGAUCGGCCACACUGGAACUGAGACACGGUCCAGACUCCUACGGGAGGCAGCAGUAGGGAAUCUUCCGCAAUGGGCGAAAGCCUGACGGAGCAACGCCGCGUGAGUGAUGAAGGUCUUCGGAUCGUAAAACUCUGUUAUUAGGGAAGAACAUAUGUGUAAGUAACUGUGCACAUCUUGACGGUACCUAAUCAGAAAGCCACGGCUAACUACGUG
rnacentral:rRNA from 1 species